rnacentral:rRNA from 1 species
UACGUAGGGGGCAAGCGUUAUCCGGAUUUACUGGGUGUAAAGGGAGCGCAGACGGAACUGCAAGUCUGAUGUGAAAGCCCGGGGCUCAACCGCGGGACUGCAUUGGAAACUGUAGAUCUGGAGUGCCGGAGGGGCAAGCGGAAUUCCUGGUGUAGCGGUGAAAUGCGUAGAUAUCAGGAGGAACACCGGCGGCGAAGGCGGCUUGCUGGACGGCAACUGACGUUGAGGCUCGAAAGCGUGGGGAGCAAACAGGAUUAGAUACCCGCGUA